rnacentral:rRNA from 1 species
UAGAUAGUUGGCGGGGUAACGGCCCACCAAGUCUACGAUCAGUAGCUGAUGUGAGAGCAUGAUCAGCCACACGGGCACUGAGACACGGGCCCGACUCCUACGGGAGGCAGCAGUAAGGAAUAUUGGACAAUGGGCGAAAGCCUGAUCCAGCCAUGCCGCGUGAAGGAUGAAGGUCCUCUGGAUUGUAAACUUCUUUUAUUUGGGACGAAAAAAGGGAAUUCUUUCCCACUUGACGGUACCAGAUGAAUAAGCACCGGCUAACUCCGUGCCAGCAGCCGCGGUAAUACGGAGGGUGCAAGCGUUAUCCGGAUUCACUGGGUUUAAAGGGUGCGUAGGCGGGUAGGUAAGUCAGUGGUGAAAUCCUAGAGCUUAACUCUAGAACUGCCAUUGAUACUAUCUAUCUUGAAUAUUGUGGAGGUAAGCGGAAUAUGUCAUGUAGCGGUGAAAUGCUUAGAUAUGACAUAGAACACCCAUUGCGAAGGCAGCUUACUACACAUAUAUUGACGCUGAUGCACGAAAGCGUGGGGAUCAAACAGGAUUAGAUACCCUGG